AUGAACGCUGGCGGCGUGCCUAAUACCUGCAAGUCGCGCGAACAGACGAGGAGCUUGCUCCUCUGACGUUAGCGGCGGACGGGUGAGUAACACGUGGAUAACCUACCUAUAAGACUGGGAUAACUUCGGGAAACCGGAGCUAAUACCGGAUAAUAUAUUUAACCGCAUGGUUCAAUAGUGAAAGACGGUUUUGCUGUCACUUAUAGAUGGAUCCGCGCCGCAUUAGCUAGUUGGUAAGGUAACGGCUUACCAAGGCAACGAUGCGUAGCCGACCUGAGAGGGUGAUCGGCCACACUGGAACUGAGACACGGUCCAGACUCCUACGGGAGGCAGCAGUAGGGAAUCUUCCGCAAUGGGCGAAAGCCUGACGGAGCAACGCCGCGUGAGUGAUGAAGGUCUUCGGAUCGUAAAACUCUGUUAUUAGGGAAGAACAAAUGUGUAAGUAACUAUGCACGUCUUGACGGUACCUAAUCAGAAAGCCACGGCUAACUACGUG
rnacentral:rRNA from 1 species